UCUAUUCCAUGAGGUGCGGUCGCGGCCCUCGGCGGGAGCAACAGCUACCGUCGGGCGGUAGAGGUAACACUUUCACGCGCCGCAUGUCUGAAUCCUUUUUUUACGAGCACCUUUCGUUCUCCUUCGGCGGGGCAACCUGCCGUUGGAACCUAUCAAAACCUUUUUUGCAUCUAGCAUUACCUGUUCUGAUACAAACAAUCGUUA
rnacentral:misc_RNA from 1 species